rnacentral:sRNA from 1 species
CCAGGCACUGGCAUUGCCCCCUUCCGGGGAUUCUGGCAGGAGCGGCUGCAUGACAUUGAGAGCAAAGGGCUGCAGCCCACUCCCAUGACUUUGGUGUUCGGCUGCCGAUGCUCCCAACUCGACCAUCUCUACCGCGACGAGGUGCAGAACGCCCAGCAGCGCGGGGUGUUUGGCCGAGUCCUCACCGCCUUCUCCCGGGAACCUGACAACCCCAAGGUGUGAGACCCUGAGGGCGCAAUGGUAGCCUGAAGAUAGGGAAAGAGGGGAGGACUCGCGCUCUCCAGCGGAGCACACCGACCAUGGCCCUCCCGUGGCCUCCCACGACCACUCAGCCACCCCUGCACACUCUGGCCCACCCUCGUGC